GACGAACGCUGGCGGCGUGCUUAACACAUGCAAGUCGAACGGAAAGGCCCUGCUUUUGUGGGGUGCUCGAGUGGCGAACGGGUGAGUAACACGUGAGUAACCUGCCCUUGACUUUGGGAUAACUUCAGGAAACUGGGGCUAAUACUGGAUAGGAGCUCCUGCUGCAUGGUGGGGGUUGGAAAGUUUCGGCGGUUGGGGAUGGACUCGCGGCUUAUCAGCUUGUUGGUGGGGUAGUGGCUUACCAAGGCUUUGACGGGUAGCCGGCCUGAGAGGGUGACCGGCCACAUUGGGACUGAGAUACGGCCCAGACUCCUACGGGAGGCAGCAGUGGGGAUUAUUGCACAAUGGGCGGAAGCCUGAUGCAGCAACGCCGCGUGCGGGAUGACGGCCUUCGGGUUGUAAACCGCUUUCGCCUGUGACGAAGCGUGAGUGACGGUAAUGGGUAAAGAAGCACCGGCUAACUACGUG
rnacentral:rRNA from 1 species